rnacentral:rRNA from 1 species
UACGGAGGGCGCGAGCGUUGUCCGGAAUCACUGGGCGUAAAGGGCGCGUAGGCGGCCCUGGUAAGUCUGCGGUGAAAGCCCGGGGCUCAACCCCGGGUCGGCCGCGGGUACUGCCGGGCUGGAGUGCCGUAGGGGCAGGCGGAAUUCCGGGUGUAGCGGUGGAAUGCGUAGAGAUCCGGAAGAACACCGGUGGCGAAGGCGGCCUGCUGGGCGGCGACUGACGCUGAGGCGCGACAGCGUGGGGAGCGAACAGG